CUUUCAACUAUGGGUCUUUCUCUGCACUUCUACUGUUGCCUCAGGCUUGAUGAUAACAUGAACGGGGGUCACAUGUCAUAAUGGAGAAGGUGUACGUCUUUCUGUGAGAUGGCAUCAUAGAGAGUUGCCCUUGUGUUUUAUAAAAUGUACUGGAGUAUAGCGCAGCGGGAGGGAGCCCCGCAGAGGGCCCUGCCUGUUCCCCUGAAGAAUCAGUUAAAUGACAGACCUAAUAUGAAGGUUUAUUGGUGGGAUGGGAAGGAGACCUGGAAAAGGGGUAGAGGCAGGGAAAGGAGGGGAACAGAGAAGAACAGAGAGAGGAGAGAGGGGAAGAGAAGAAGGGAAAGAGGACUGGAGGGGAAGGGGUUAGGGAAAGGAAGGGGGAGGGUGAAAAGAGAGAGGGGGAGGGAGAGAGGGAGAGAGGUGUGUGGAGGAGAAAGGAGGGAGGGAGAGAGGGAGAGGGAGAAAGGGAAGGAGAGAGAGAGAGAGAGAGAGAGAGAGAGAGAGAGAGAGAGAGAGAGAGAGAGAGAGCAAAAGCCCUUCUUAUUUUCAAGCCAGGCUCCUACCCUCCAGCUAGCAAGCUGUUGCUAGGUAACUGUUGGGCGGAGCCUAGAAGAAUUGCUAACCACGGUCAGUUGUCAGCCCCACAGCACUACUAUUGGAGUAGAAAGCCCUGCCCCUCAGACCAUUUAUUUCCUCUGCUGUAAGUUCAAACAAACGAAAAACUUCAGGACAUUGGUUCUUGGGUUUUUCUCAUCCUACAGCAAUAAAGGCAGGAAUUUGCAGAAGUGGGAACUUGAAAUAGUAGAAAAACUGGGAAAGGGGAAUCUAUAUCCUGCAUUCCAUCCUCUCCAUAUUUGGAACUAAACAUCCCCCAUGAGUUUUUUUCCCUAUGUCUGCAUGUCAGUCUUUCUUGCUCAGUUGCACGGUACUGAGUCCCCAGGGCAAGGGCGACCUAUUGUUUGCUGUGUUUGAACACUUGGUUCCCAUCUAGUGACCACGUUGUCUGAGGUGGUGGGCCUUUAAGGCACGGAGCUGUAGAGGCAGGGGCUAUGCCUCAGCGCAGCUCCAGCCUGAGUUCCCUGUCUACUGAUUCACCAAGAUGUGCGCAACCCCCUCUCAAGCUCUGACCACCACAUAUAGGAAUCGCUCUCCCCUCUGAGAACUCCACCACACCUUCCUCAGCAUGAGGAACUCCAUCCUUACAGUCCAUGAACAAGAUGAGUCUGGUCUCUGACAGUCAUGCCGGCACACGAUGGCAUGGUCAAAGAUGCAAACAACUGUCUUCUUAAAACAUGCUAAAAGCAAAGAAGGCAGCUCAUUCAUUAUGUUCUGGAGGAACGGCUCUCCAGGAUGGAGCGCACCCCUUUCCGAUGCUGCUGAAUAGAAAGCAUGGCCCCCUGUGAA